CCCGCCAAGGUCUCUUACUGCAGUGCCCUCCCCCAGCCACUCCUCUUUCCAGACCCAGAGAAGCAGCUCCUCUGAAACAUCUCUCCUCCCACCGGAGGGACCAGUCACCCCUUCCUCAGCCACAUCUUCAGAGCCGCCCCCUUCCCACUGUUUGUCACUGCAUCCUCUCUCUAGGAGGGGCUUCCCGUUCUGCCCGGCACAGGGUCUGGCCCACAGGUGCUGAUACAUGACAACAGAAUAACUAAAUCUCUUCACCAACAAGAAACACUCAACCAGAGAAUUCUUCCUGAAAGAGAUGGCCCCUGAGGCCAUUGAGAAGCAUCUUGGGGUGGAGUGGAAGCGGUCCUGAGAGCUGGUCUUGCUGUCCCUUGUCCCCCAACCCCAGGUGACAUGAAGCCAAGCUCCAGAGAAGAGCCGGGCCCAUGGGGUGUUUGGAUUUUACUCCAAGUCUAAUUCCCAGUCCGGUGCCCCUGCCUCCAGCGGCUCUACUUCCUCUGUCUGCUUGGCCUAGGAAGGGGUGCGUGGCAGAGUGCGGGGCAUGGGGAGAGAAAGUGAGGCCCAGGGGAAGCCCCAGGAGGGCGGUGUGGUGCAUUCGGCUCUGGCCCCUGUCUGGGUUCAGGCCUCCAAGUAGGUCCUCCUGUUUGCUCAUCUUCUGAGGCCCGGGGCUUCUUCAGAGCCUCCAUGGGUCCCACCCCGGCACCCAUCACAUGGUGUCUGGCCCCUGCCUGGCUCACACCCCCACCCCCACCUGCUACCCUAUUUCUAUCCCUAGGACACCCCGCUGGGCACUGCUGUUCCCUCUCAUAGAAGACUUUUACAGGCCCUGCUCAUCCCUUUUGCCAAUCAAGUGAAUGUCACCUCCUCAGAGAAGCCCUCCCUGAGCACCCCAUCUGCAGUAGGGUCACCCCGUCUUCCACCCUCACUUUUCCUGGUGUUUCCUUGCUAGCCCCUGUCCCUGUGGGGAGUUUUCUGCACUGAUAGACUAGUCUUCCUUAACCACCCAGGGGCCAGCGUGUCUGUCUUCUCUGUCCCUGUGCGUGGGAGAUGCUCAAUGAUCAUUUGUCAGCAAAAAUGAAACAGGAAGACCCCUGAGGUGCUGGGAUUAAGAGCCAUUCACCCCAGGUGAGGAAGGAGCUUUGAGGAACGGGAGAGAACCCGAGUUAGUGCCCCCUGCCCACCCUGAGGGUCAGCCCCAUGCAGGGUGGACCAAUGAGCCUUGGGGUAUCUGUAACCAAAGAUGGUUCUUGAUAAGUGACCAUUUCUUGCAAAUCUUGUAGUAGCAUUGGAAAGGUGGCAGGUGGGUGGCUGAUACUCUGCUGUUUUGUGCCCUCCCUGCAUAGAACAGGGCUGUGCAUACCCUAGUUUGUGUGGCAUGCAGUCAUGUGGUCCUCACUGUUACUCAGAAACACUGAAAAAAAAAGAGACCUUAGUCUUUUCCUUUCUCUAUUUCUUUCUUAUUUCAUUCUUUUUUCUUUUUCUUUCUUUCUUUCUUUUUUUUUUUGAGACAGAGUUUUACUCUUGUUCAGGCUGGAGUGUUAUAACGCAAUCUUGGUUCACUGCAACCUCUGCCCCCCAGGUUCAAGUGAUUCUCCUGCGUCAGCCUCCCAAGUAGCUGGGAUUACAGUCACGUGCCACCACGCCCAGCUAAUUUUUUGUAUUUUUAGUAGAGACAGGGUUUCACCAUGUUGGCCAGGCUGUUUUCGAACUGACCUCUGGUAAUCUGCCCGCCUCUGCCUCCCAAAGUGGGAGGAUUACAGGUGUGAGCCACCGCACCCGGCCUUCUUUUUUUUCUUUUCUCACUCUGUCACUCAGGCUUGAGUGCAGGGACACUAUCUCAGCUCGCUGCAGCCUUGACCUCCAGGGAUCAUGUGAUCUUCCUGCCUCAGCCUUCCCGGUAGCCAGGACUGCAGGCGUGCACCACCACACCCAGCUAAUUUUUUGUAUUUUUAGUAGAGACUGCGUUUUGCCAUGUUGCCCAGGCUGAUCUUGGACUUCUGGGCUCAAGCAGUCUGCCUGCCUUGGCCUCCGAGAGUGCUGGAAUUACAGGAGUGAGCCAUCGCACCCAGCGGUCUUCUCAUUGUUCUGCCAUCAGCAGCCACUUCGUGUGACUCCCCAGCCUCCUCAGCUUCCACUGUUUUUCCAUCACAUGCAGAAUAAAACCUAAAGGCUGGCCCCCAGCUGCCCUCCUAACCUUGUUUCUUAUCACUCUCCCAUUGGCUCCUCCUGGACCAACCUCACUCCUUGCUGACCUCAAAAUCACCCUGUACUUGGCUGUGGGAGGAACGCCACGGUCACUGUUCCCAAAGCGCCACCAGGGGGCUGACGCCACACUCCCUGCAGGCCUCUGCUCCGACACCACCUCCCUAGAAGGACUCAGCCAGCACCAUGUGAAGUACCCAUUCGGUGAAACACACUAAAUAUUUUCAGUCACUUCUGCUCUUAAUUUUUCUAGCAGUUACUCAAAACUCUAAACAUGAGUAAGCCCCGUACUUCCGGAUUUACGAUUUCAUGAAAGUUGAAGACUUAGCUCACUUUUACCAUGCCCUGGCUGCAUUCAUUGUAACUGUUUCUCACCUCCUGUGUGAACUUCAGGAGUCGCCUUUAUAACUCUGCACCUGUCUUCUCAGCUCUGUUUUGGGAGCCAUCAUGGGGAGAUGACAUCUGUGUACCACUCAUGAGUCCCAUAGCCACUGACAGCUUAUCCGAGGAGAUCGGGCGUUCGGGGUGGUGUGGCCGAGACCCCACUGACAGCUUUACAUGGCCAUUGACUGUCCAAAUUCUGUCAACUAUAGUGUUUAAAUUGUUUUAUUUAUAUUUUCUGUAAAUCCAGUUGAGCUUUUCAUGCUUUGUGUGCUGAUUCAGAAAAGUAAAAUAAGGAAAGUGAAAUCAAUAACCAGCACUUAGGCUGAUAUCAUUAUGCAACUUCUCCUGCAGAUCCAAGACCUAAGAUUGGACACAAUGAAUCCACACCAGCCCUGCGUCAAACUGCUUACCAUCCAUUCUAUGUUUAAAGUCGUGCUCAUGUUACUUGGUCUCAUAUUUGGUCUGACUUUCUAGCACAGAUCUAUCGUGCUAGACUAUGUAAUUGUCUUACUUACAGUUUUGACGUAACAGGCAUAUGGAUUUCCCCUCAUUACUAAGAGUCCUAAUUGUAGCCUCUUAAGUUAAUUAUGACAUAUUGAACACAAAAUCCACUUUCUCUGUGAAAUCUCUCUUUGUGGGGCUCCUUGAAUUCUUUUUCUAAGAAAGAAAGAGAAAGGAUGAAAGAAAGACGGAAGAGAGAGAGACAGAAAGGAAGAAUGAAAAAAGAAAGAAACUUAGGUCAGCUUCUCUUCCCCUUCCCUUCUCUUCCUUUCCCUUCCCUUCCUUUCCCUUUCCUUUCUUUCUCUUUCCUUUACUUUCCUUCUUUUCCUUUUUUAAUUUCCUUUUUCUUUUUCUCUCUCUCUUCUUCCUUUCCCUUCCUUUCCUUUUUCCUUUCUCCUUUCCUUUCCCUUUUUCCCCUUCCCUUUUUCUUUCCCCUUCCCUUUCUCCUUUCUCCCUCCCCUCCCAUUUCCUUCUUCCCUUCCCUUUCUUUCCAGGGUAUCACUUUGUAACUCAGGCUGGAGUCCAGUGCUGCCAUCUCAACUCACUGAAACCUCUACCUCCCAGGCUGAAGUCAUCCUCCCACCUCAGCCUCCUGGGUUUACAGGUGUGUGCCACCACAGCCAGUUAAUUUUUACAUUUUUUUUUUUGUAGAGACAGGGUUUCACCAUGUUGUUCAGGCUGGUCUCAAUUUUCUGAGCUCAAACGAUCCGCCAGCCUCGACCUCCCAAAGUGCUGGGAUUACAGGUGUGAGCCACUACUGUGCCCAGUCAGAUCGGGCACUUUCUAGACCUUCCUAAAAGCUGUGUCUUGGAUUUUGCUUUCCUCUACUGCUAGGUGAGGUCCAUACAGCUACCCAUGACUAACUCUGAAAGCUAUUGAUACAUGGCAGUGCACUGAGAAAGUUCACACCUCACAGUGAAUUAAAGAAAUAUGAGCAUAGUCUGGGUGCAGUGGCUCACGCCUGUAAUCCCAGCACUUUGAAAGACUGAAGUGGGUGGAUCAUGAGGUCAGGAGAUUGAGACCAUCCUGGGCAACAUGGUGAAACCCCAUCUCUACUAAAAAUACAAAAAUUAACUGGGCGUGGUGGCUCAAGCCUGUAAUCCUAGCUACUUGGGAGGCUGAAGCAGGAGAAUUGCUUGAACCAGGGAGUCAGAAGUUGCAGUGAGCCGAGAUCAUGCCAUUGUACUCCAGCCUGGUGACAGAGUGAGAGUGAGAAAAGAAAUGAAAAGUAUGAGUAUAAAUUAAAUAACUGGUGUCAUUGGCCCUCCAUAUAUCUUUUUUCUCCAAAAAUUAUUAAUAAAUAACAAAGUACGGUUAUUUUGUAUGCCAGUGCAUACAGAUUUUAACAUUUGGAUAUAUAUUUCUUUGAAAGCUAGGAUAUGUUUUCUAAUGCUCUUUCAUUGAAGUCAGCUCCUAAUAUUCAGCAUAAAUAUGAGUUAUGAAUCCCAGUAUGUACCUGAGCCUCACUCUCCCUCCCCGAGCACCACACCCUGCCCUGGGCCCUUCUUUGGCACAUGGACAGAUGCAUGGGACCGCUGGGGGUGGGAGUGCUGGACUGGGAAUCAGACUUGGAGUAUAAUCCAAAUGGCCCACGAGCACACAGCUUGAGCUGCCCCAGUGGGUUUCCGUGGCAACCUCAAAUCAGACUCUGCUCCUUAGUUGGCCAGCACCUAUUAAGAGUUUUCCACUUUGGGCGAUGGUAUUGGUGGUGGCACUUCCAGGAGGGACACAGCAACUUAGCAGAAGGACAGACUCACAGGGGCUCUUGGGGAGCUCAAGUGGGGCCCACAGAGACCUUCUCUCUGGGGUUCCAAACUGGCAUUUAGAAGGAGAUUCAGUACUCACACCUGGGGUGUUUCAGAAUAUUCAGGAGACCAGAGAGACCAAUGGGUGAAACAGGAGGAUUUUAUUAAGGUGGCCACUGGCUCAGCCGAUUAGCAUCCCAAGAUUGAGCAAAGGAGAAAGAAAAUGGUAGACUUUUUAUACAUCCAGGAUGACGUAACACAGGUUUGCAGAAGCCAGAACAAAGAACAGUUAAUUUGUAGCAUGUCUUGUGAUGUAUGUUACAUUUGAAAAAUAGCAUUUUGAGAAACGCAUUGCACAUUCUUUGGGUGUUAUCUUGCCCUGUGACCUUGCAGCUGGUCAGCAAGAAAAAUGGGAGUCUUGAGAUGCCUGGGAACUUGCUGAGAAUGUGGGGAGAAUAGAUAAGGUAGGUUUUAAGGAGUUAAUUUUAAGCAGAGCUGGGGUAAGAUUUUAUAUUGAGCACAACACAGUAAACUGUAUUAUGCAGCAAUUGUAGGCUACCAUUGUUCUUACUGAAUUUCCCUCUUCCUUUCCCCCCUUUGUUGCUUUUUAUUAACUCUUUGGUAGGAAACAACCCCAUUGCUUUCAGCAUUUACUAGUAUUUGGAAGUUAAUUUUGGUUUAGGUCACUUGAUAUUUCUAUGAGCUUAUUUAUUAGUUUUAUGCCUGUUUGGUUUUUGUAGCUGGAUGUCAGGGCGAUGGCUUAGGUGUGUUGCAGAGCUUUUUAAGACAACCCUUUUGGGAGUGCCUUUGUAUUUUUGGUGAACAGCAGGCUGGUGUGUUAGCUUAUUACCCUUUCUCUUGGUGGUGAUCUUACCCUUUCUCUUGGUGGGUGCAGGCAGAAGCACCUCAUCAGUACUGAAAUGCAUCUCCUGACAGCCCUGUGGAAGUCCCAGCUUCUUCUUGGCCGAGCCAACACAGCCUUGGGCUGCCUAGCUUGGAGGACGCUGGCUUCCUGUGAUGAUGGUUGAGCCAGGGUGCUCUGGGUGGUGCUCUGGGUGGAGGAGGCGGCCAUGAGGUCAUGCUGGAGGGAUUGUUGAGCCAAAGGUUCUAAAUCUUCACUGCCGAUGGAGGCUGCUGCUAUGGUGGAGGCUGCGGCCACGGGGUCACGCUGGAGGGCCUGCUGAGCCAAGGUUUCUAAAUCCCCACCACUGCCGUUGGAGCCCCAAGGGAGGAGGCCAAGGGAUCACCACGCUGGAGGGCCCGCUGAGCCAAGGUUUCCAAAUCCCCACCGCUGCCAUUGGAGCUCCCAAGAUAGGAGGCCACGGGGUCACGCUGGAGGGCCUGCUGAGCCAAGGUUUCUAAAUCUCCACAAUUGCUGAUAGAGCUUUCGAUGGUCGGGGAGGCCAUGGAGGCAUGCUGGGGGUCUGGAUUAAAACUCUCUGGCUGGUUGUUCGGGUGGUCCACAAUUUGCUCUUCAUAAUUUGUCAGAGGUAACUCCUGGCCGUUGUUCACCCACGGGUCCUUCAUGACUACUUCUACUGUUGGCCGCUCCCUGGGGUCUGGCGUUAACAGUUUUUUCAUUAGGCUUUUAAGGCCUUCUGAAAAGAAGGCUGGGCAAAUAUAAUUUCCAGAUUUAAUUUUUCGUUUGAGGAUCAUAGUACUCCAUGAGGAGAAGGGCAGAUCCCUGGACAUCAUCUGGUACAAAAUGACGCCUAGGCUACAAACAUCCAUGGCGGGGCAUUGGUAGCCCCGGCCCCAGAAGACUUCUGGGGCCAUGUAGACGUAGGUGCCACAGCGUGUUGUCAGCUUCUGCCCCUCACAGUAAGUUAUUGCUGAGCCAAACAAAACCUGCAAUUUUUAUGUUACCUUUGCUGUCCAACAGGAUGUUUCCCGGAUUCAGGUCUCUAUGUGCUAUUCGUUUUUUGUGACAGUACUGCAUGGCCGACAGCAUCUGUUGGAACAUGGCCCGGGCCUCCUCCUCCAUCACGUGGUUGCGGUACAUCCACUGGUACAGGUUUCCUCCUGAUGCGUACUCCAUAAUCAAGUGGCACACGUCUGUGGUGUCCAUAACUUGAUACAGCUUAAUUAUAUUGGGGUGGUGCACAGAUUUUAAAAUAUUCAUCUCUCUCUGGCUAGUGGUGAUGCAGGAGCCAGUUUCGCGGGUGAUUUUCACGACCACCGGGGUCCUAGUCAGCAAGUGCCAGGCCAGCUUGACCUCACUGAAGUCACCACAGCCAAUGAGGCCCAGCAUUUCAUAAUUCUCCAGCCCCUGGUCAGGUGGGGUGGAGACCGAUCCCUGCCCCAUGGUGCCUGACAUCUCUCUACACUACACAACUACUCUAACUAUUCUAACUACACUAAAAUACUAAACAAUACUGACUAUAUUAAAGUAUGCUAAAAUACUGAGCAAUGAAACUGACUAUACUAACUAUGCUAACAAUGCGAACUAGAAAAACACACCAACGCCCCUCACACAAACCCUCCCCCACCCCCAACACCCCCCGCCCUCAACCCCCUACACACACACACACACACACACACACACACACAACUCGCAAUCGCUAAACUGGUCUGAGUCCACAGGUCACCAAAGAAGCUUCCAGGGAUCUAUCAGACCAAAAACCAUGACCCAGCCAGGGCCUUAUACAGACCCUGACUGUAAUUACAUCACAAAGGCUUUUGAUGACUUCAGAGCAAAGCAGGGGCCAGUCAUGGCUGCGGAUCAUUCACAGUCCCCAAAACAUCUUCCUCUUUUAAAAAGAAAAGUGCUUUUAUCUAGAUGGUUAUAGAGAUUGAUAUUUAGUUUCCCAGCUAUUUAAACUGGUACAACCCUUCAACAGCAUUUUCAUUUGUAGUUUUCUUUUUUCUAUAAUUUUUUUAUUAUACUCUUAAGUUCUGGGGUACAUGUGUAGAUUACGCAGGUUUGUUACAUAGGUUCACACGUGCCACGGUGGUUUUCAAUCAUUUGUAAUUUCAAAAUCUGAAAUAGCUUUUGGAUUUUGAAGAUCUCCUAAUGUCUACAUGCAAAAUAUUCUAUUCCUUUUCUUUCAUCUCUGAAUAGUUGGUCUCAACCAUUGAGAAGGGAGAGAAUAUUUUCCUUUCCUUUAGGGUUUUUCCUUCCUCAUGUGGUUGAGAUUAUGUAAUGGACACAGAGGAAACAGAAACACCCUACCCUCCAUGAGCCCAUAGCCUUGUCAGGAAGGCCCCCCAGCCAUGAAGCUCCUUCAGUGUGAGGAGCACAGGUGAAGCGGGGGCCAGAGAAGAGUGGCCCUGGCCACAGGUCGGCGCUGGUGAGCGAGGAAGCACGGCUUUCUGGAGGCCAGUGUGCUGAGCCCUGCGGUGUGAGGAGGGGUCGCCUAAGUGAGUAGGGACAAGGGCAGGAGGGUGGCCUCUGCGAAGGCCCAGGAUGACCGAGGGUGGCUCGCUAGAGGGAUGCGCUAGUCUGAACAAGUGACUGGGGCCAGGUUGGGAGCGCUUGAGUCCCAGGACAGAGGCUGAGCCUGUAUUUCAGGGCCGGGGCUGUGGAAUAGUUCUGAGCCCCUCGCUGGGCCACAGCCCUCAGACCCUGACUCUGCUCCUGACCUGGGAGUGAGCUCAACCGAACUUCACCUCCUCGCCAGCCUCGCUGCCUCCAGCCUUCCCCACCCACACCCCUCCUUUCAGGUUCCCAGAGGGAUCCAAGGAAAAGCCACCUCUGGCCUCCACCACCCACCUGCUGGCCCUGAGACCUUCAAGGAGAAGCCCUCCUCCUUGUCCACCAGAGCUCACCUGGGCAGCCUGUUCUUCCCACGGUCCUGCCUUACAGACCACCCUCUGUGCCCGGGUGAGUCAGUCCAUCAUGUUUUCUACACACAGUCCCCACUGCCUGGAGUCCCCCCCUUACUCUCCUGCACUGGGUGCCCUCCUGUCCCUUCAGUCCCAGCUGAGAUAUCUGGCACUCUGGGGAGCAUCCCUGAGCCCCAGACACAGAGAAGCCUCUUCUGCCCUGGAUCCCAGAACUGCUGGUGCUUUCCUUCUGCCAUGGUGCAGAAACCUCUUACCCCCCCAACACACACAUGCAUACUCACACCUCGCACACACUUGCUACCAUCUGGGGACAUGGAUUUCUGCCUGCUGGACUGCCUCUCUCCCACCCCAGCCUCUUGGGGGCCCCAGGAAGAGGUGUUGCUAUUAAUAGUAGGGGCCCCGUAGGUGCACUGGAGGUGGGGAAGGGAAGGGCUCCCGAGGAAUAGCCCUGCAUGGAUGACAGCCACCCCACAGAGGGCAUGGCCACCAGGAAAUGUAGGUCUUUCUACAUUUAGGUGGAGGCAGCAGGCACAGGCUGGAAGGAGAAAGUGGGGCUGGAUUCCCAGGGUUCCUAAAUGCCAGGAUGAGGUGCUUCUGUUGCCUCCUGGGGAGCAAGCUUUGGAAGAGACUGAGGCCCAUGAGGGCAGCACUGGGGAGGCUGGUCUGGAGGGAGAUGGCCCCUGAAGGGGCAUACCUGUGCCUGUCCCUGUUGGCUCAGCCCUCACUGUCACCAGGAAUCCCUUGGUAGGGAAUGGGGGGUGUCAUGUCCUUCUGUCUGGAGCCUGAACACCCAGACAUGUUCCCCCCAAGAUUCUGCACUUUUUUAUUUUUUCAAGACAGAGUCUCACGCUGUCAUUCAGGCUGGAGUACAAUGGCAUGAUCUCAGCUCACUGAAACCUCCGCUGCCUUGGUUCAAGUGAUUCUUCUGCCUCAGCUUUCUGAGUAUCUGGGAUUACAGGUGUGCACCACCACGCCCAGCUCAUUUUUUGUAUUUUUAGUGGAGACGGGGUUUUGCCGUGUUGGCCAGGCUGGUCUUGGACUCCUGGGCUCAAGUGAUCCUCCCACCUUGACUUCCCAAAGUGCUGGGAUUCCAGGUGGGAGCCACUGCACUUGGCCUGCUCCUGCUCUUCCAUCCGUGCAUUGGAGUCGCCUCUCCCUGCAGGCAGCUGCUGCACCCUGAGUGCCUGGCACAACUGUGGCCCCGAGGAGAUGCUCAAACACGUGACUCCCUGGGGGCCUCGGAUCUGGGUGGCUCCCUUUUGUGACAUGAGGCAGGAAGCAGAGCUCUGUGGGUCAUGUGCCACCCUAGGGGAUGAAGGCUGUCCUUGUUCUCUUGCGAGCCAGGCUUGGCCACUCUUCCAGGGGACCCACCCCCACUUCCUAGCCUGGCCGGCAUCGGCCUUCCUGUCCCUGCCCGGAGUGGUGUCUGCCACAUGCUCUGAAGUUGGUCCUUUGCUUCGAGGUCUUGAAGGGCAGGGUGUAUGUGAGUCACCCACCACUGGGACCUGGUAGGGUGGGGAGGCAUCUAAGCGGGACUGCUGCCAACCCCCUCCUGGGCCUGGAGUGGAGGCCGGCAACUCACUCCACCUUGCGGGGGGCUGAUGGAAGGCCUCAAAGAGGCCUUGGCCAUCCACUGGGCUCAGGAGCACCAGGGGCUUAUCAGGGCUUGUGGCUGGGAGCAAGGCCUGGCCCUGGGGCUUCUGGGCCUGCUCUUGUUGAAGGGUGGCCUGUAGGUAUUGGCCCGCGGGUGUCCCAUGGCCUCCUGCAUCUCAUGGCCUUGCCCUUCCCCUUCAGCAUGACCGUCCGGUGCCUUCAUCAGCCUCCACAGAGCUCGUCCUGGUAGAGGAUGUGAGGGUGAGCCUGGAAGAGGUGACCAUCUACAACUGUCUUGGCUUCCAGAUACAGCCCUUGCCCUGCCAGCUGCCUGGGUGGAGCUCCGUCUCAGGAAAGACUCGGUGACUUCUUCCUCAACACCAGUGCUGUGGACGACAUCAAGACGGCCUACCAGGAAACCAGGGCCAUCACCAUGGUAAGUUUGGGUCAUUGGUCCCCAGGGUGAUUUUCAUUCUUCAUCUGGGCCAUCGUGAUGUUCAUAGAUUGAUAUUUUUUAAGCUGUCACUUAAUCUCAUCAGCUAUAGCUAGCAAAGCUGUUAGAGUCUCUGAUUUAUUCUGCAACUUUAGUCAUUUUCAUGCUACCUUUGUGAUUUUUUUUAUUUUUGAGACAGGAUCUCACUCUGUUGCCUGGGCUGGAGUGCAGUAGCUUACUGCAGCCUUGACCUCCUGGGCUUAAGUGAUCCUCCCAACUCAGCCUUCGGAGUAGCUGUGACUACCACCACCCGGCCGCACACACCACCACACCCGGCUAAUUUUUGUAUUUUUUGUAGAGACGGGAUCUUGCCAUGUUGCCCAGGCUGGUCUCGAACUCCUAGGCUCAAGAGUCCACCUGCCCUGGCCUCUCAAAGUGCUGGCAUUACCUGUGUGACCCUCCGCACCCAGGCUACCUUUAUGAUUUUCAUUCCAUGUCCACAAACUACCCACACUGUCACCUAUGGUUUCCUUUCUGUCAAUCUUUUCAUUAAAAUUAAAAUGUUAUUACAUAAGCAGCACUCUAACAACAAUAAAGAAAAUUGCUUUUAAGGAGGUUGUGCCUUUCUCUGUUUCCCUAGGUUGAUUUCUUGACCCUCUCCCUAUUCUUGCAACUGUUGACUUAUCUGUGCUCAUGGCAUGGAAGAAUUUAGUGUUCUGUUUUCCAUUAUCUUAUUCUAUUCUCACUUUUUCUAUUUCCCCAUGUUGACAGGGAGGCUGGCUGAUUAUUUUUAAUGUCAUCAUUUGUACUUCUGCCAUUCUUUUCUAAUCAGAGUGUUUGGAUGGUCAGAAUGUUUUUGUUCUUUCAAAAAUAUAGGGAAGAAUAGAAUGAAAAAAGUAAAAGCAAACAAACACUGACAUGUCUGCGUAUCUGCACGACGGGUUAUCAUGCAAUCACAAACACAGAACUCACGUUAGAAGGGAGCUCUUACUACGGAAAGUGUAAUAAGCCCUCUCUAAGUCAUCAACCCAAGGCAGCCCAAAGCUCAUUGGUUUGAUACAACAAUGGCAGUGACACCCACCCCAGCAUGUCAUUAAACCACUGCUGUGCUGUGGCCUUUGAGGUGCUGUGAGCCCAAGACCUGCUUUCCUCUGUUAGAAGGGGUGGUUCCACAUGGUUGAGGAGUGUUGCAGUCAGGCCAGCUUCAGAGACUUUUCCCGGACCCAGUGAGGCCUGGGUUGAUUCGGUGCUUGGUGUGUGGUGGGGACUGAGAUGGUGCAGCUCCGUGGAUGGGCUAGAGGUGCACUGACCGUGGGUCUCCUGCCAUCCUGAUACUCGGGUUUGCUCUUGGCUUUGCCUGGUUCAUGGAAGUAGCCCUUGAAGGCUCGCAGCAGCAGGAAACAACUUCCUGGCUUCAGGAAAGGCCAAAGUCGGAGUUCACCUUUGCAGUGACCAUGUCCCAGAGUCUCCUUUCAGAAACACACUCAGGGCACCUUUCUUUUGCUUUUUGCACCUACUGACUUUCUGUACAUGGACUGUCUCUAAAUGAACUUCCUCUAGGGCACGAUAGGUGUAAAGUCGGUGAGGGGAAGCAGCGGGGUGUGAGGAACAGCUGGAAGUGCUAUGCUAAACAGACCUGGCCCCAAGGUGCAGUGUUGGGGAGUAACAGGGGAGGUGGAGACUAUGGCAAACGAGCACACUGGCCAAGUCUAAGGGCAGCCACCACGCCCCUCUAGCUGAUUUCUGUUGUUCUUAAUCACAUCUAUGUCGAGGUGAUUCACAUACCAUGCAAUUCACACACCUAAAGGAUACAGUUCAGGGUUUUUUUGUACAUUCUAGAACAUUCACAGCGUUGGGAACCAUCACCAAACACAUCCUCCCCUCUGCUCCCCUCUCCUCUCUUUUCUUUCUUCCCUUCCCUUUUCUUUCUUUCUUUCCCUUCCCUUCCCUUUUCUUUCUUUUCUUUUCUUUCCAGGGUGUCACUAUGUAACCCAGGCUGGAGUGCAGUGCUGCCAGCUCAGCUCACUGCAACCUCUGCCUCCCAGGCUGAAGCCAUCCUCCCACCUCAGCCUCUUGAGUAGCUGGGAUUACAGGUUUGCGCCACCAAAGCCAGCUAACUUCUAUAUAUAUAUUUUUGCAGAGACAGGGUUUCGCCAUGUUGCCCAGGCUGAUCUUAACCUCCUGAACUCAAGAAUCCACCAGCCUUGGCCUCCCAAAGUGCUGGGAUUACAUGUGUGAACCACUACUGUGCCCGGUCAGAUCAGGCACUUUCUAGACCUUCCUAAAAGUUGUGUCUUGGAUUUUGCUUUCCUCUACUGCUAGGUGAGGUCCAUACAGCUACCCAUGACUAACUCUGAAAGUUGUUGAUACAUGGCAGUGCACUGAGAAAGUUCAUACCUCACAGUGAAUUUAUGUGAGCAUAAAUUAAAUA